GAAAGAAGAGAAGAAAAAGUGUGGAGAGGUGUGUUCCCCCCUCUCUAUUUAUACUCAUACAUGGUUAAUCCACACCAUACAAAUAAAUAAAAGCAAAAUUACAUCUUAGCCCAUAUAUUUGUCCCACUUACAAAAUAUAAACCAACUUAAUCCACUCAAGUACAUCUAACACAUUCCACUAACAAAUUACAAUACCUAACAUAGUAAAAACUUAUAAUUUCACAGUUACCACAUUUACCGUGGUAAAAACUUAUAAAUUUCCAACAAAAGUGGCAGUUCCUUCUCGACAAUGACCUAAUUUUUGAAACUUCUGGAAUCUAAAUUUAACAUCCGUACAUUUGUUUGGAGCCCCAAAUUACGUGAAAUUAUUAUUUUUACCUAAUAAACCACAAAAUACAUAAAAUAAAAUAUUUAGAAAAUAAUUAGAAAUUCAUAAUAUGUUACAUAAUUAUAAAUGUGAAUUAUAUUAUAAGCACAAAAUAACAAUUUUAUCCCUUAAUAAACAUACAUUUUUUAACACUAAUCACAAGGCAUGAAUUUUAGACAUGGUCAAUUAAUCCUUUUAGUGCUUCUUUCAUUUUAGACCUCUAUGGAUGCUUAAUGGAUCUUAUAAAGCUUAGCAAACUGUUUCUUAUCAUUCCCCCUCUCUUAAAAGAGAUUUGUCCUCAAAUCUUCAUGUACAUUAAAAGGAGACAAAUAAGCAACAUUAAAGCUUGCAUUUACAAUAUACUUACAUGGAAGAUCCAACUUGUAAACAUUGUCAUUCAUCAUUUCAAUCACUUGAAAUCGUCCAUCUACCAUAAGGAGUAGUUUAGAACACCCCUAAAUAGGGAACUAUUGCUUCUACAAAGGGACUAAAAGUCCCUCUAUGCUGCAAAAGGCUAUUUCAAACUGUUGGAUCCAAUUUAAAUGAAUCCAAAGGUUGAAAUUUAUUAUCUAUUAAAAAUAAAGAAAUUAUGAAGUAAAAAUUUAAAAAAACAAGGGAAUCAUUUGGAAAGGUAACAUGUACCAAUUAUUACUAUUCUAAAUUCCUAUUUUCUUAGUCAUAAGAAAUCAUAAAGCAAGAAAGAUAUACAAAAAGAAGAGGAGGACAAGGUCCUUCACAACUCAGACAAGAGGCAAAAUUACCACUUUAAAGGAGGAAGAGACAAUAAUGAGCUUCUAUUAAAACUAAGGAUAUGCCCUUAUUUGGCAAAGAAAACUUUGAGAUCUUCACAAGUUGAUAAGGUCUUUUGUUGUAAUUGGAUGAUACUAAGUGGCUCUUUUUGAUGAUUUAAAUUAGCAGUUUAUUCUUGUGUGUGGAUGGUGAGAAAAUUGAUGAGAUGAAAUUAGGUUUUUGUUGCCAUUUUUUUUUCAUCUUUUUUGGGAUUGAUUGAUUUGCAAUUUGAUUGUAGAAAUAAAUUGUGAAUUAAAGAAACUUUUAGUUGGAAAAUGAAGAGAGCUUUUAGGUUUUUUGGUUUUGGUUUUUCAAAUUUGUGUAGGAUUUAUUUUGGAUUUGAUUUGCUGCUAUUUUUGGAUGAAAUUUGUUAGUAAUUUUUUUUUUGUUGUUUUGGGCUUUAUUUGCCACUAUUUCUCAGUAAAAUUUUUAUUGUUUUUGAGUAAAUUUACCUCUAUUUUUAAGUUAAAUUUGCUGUUAUUUCUGGGUAAAUUCACUGUUGUUUUUAGGUUAAAUUUGUUACUAGUUAUGCGUAAAUUUUCUACUCUUUUGGACUUGUUUUGUUGUUGCUUUUAGGCAAAAUAUUUUUCAUUUUUGGGUAAAUUUACUACUGUUUCUACGUUAAAUUUGCUAUUGUUUCUAGUUAAAUUGAUGAUAUUUUUGGGCUUUCUUUGUUGUCGUUUCUGGGGUUAAAUUUGUUGCUACUUUUAGGUAAAUAUUUUGCUGUAUUUGGGGUCCUAUGAUAGGUUUGCUUUAUUUCUGAGUUGAGCCUUUGUUGGUUACCUUAUUUUUCUCCUUACAAAGAGAAUUAAUUGUGCUUUUGAAAAAUCUAUAGAUUAAGAAACCGAGCUCUUUUGUUUUCCUUAAGAUCUACAUAUAAAAGAUGCUUGGAUAAGGUGUUCUAUAAUUUUUUUAAGAAUAUAAUCUUGAAUUUAUAUUUUUAAAGAGAAUGCAAUUUGACUUGGAAACACAUUUGAUAUUUCGUGUGUCUUGUUAAUGCUAGGGAUUUAUAUUAGAACUGUAGUUGUUGAACCAAAUGACUAUAUGACAUUGAUUUUGACGAUAACAAUGACGUAUUAAGAGUUUAUUGGUAAAUAUAUGUUUCAAAUCCCACUAGCUCUUAGUAGAUUAAAGAUAAAAAAUCUUCCUUGUGAGAACCAGUUCAAAGAAUCCAACUGGAUAAAAGUUCAAAACUCAUCAAAUCAAGGACAAGCAUCAAGGGUACUAGCUUAGGUGAUUUCUCUUAUUAACAACUCUUGUAAAGUUAGUAUAAUUAAAUGAAUGCAUGUUCUAGCACUUAAAAACUCAAACUAUUUUUAUAACAUUUUAAAGAAAGUCAUUUUCAUAAGACAAAUGUUGUACUUUAAAAGGAAAAAUUAUUUUAUGAAAUAAGUAGUUUUCAAAGCUAAUGGACUAAAUUGAUGAAUGUUUUUGUGAACUUUGAAAUCCUAGAAAUGGGUUUAUCUGAAUCUUCAUAAAAAUUUAGGAAAAAAUUAUGAUUUCAAAAAACUUAUUAGUGAAUAGUUUAUGGCAAGUGUUGGUUAAUUUUUACUCAAUUGCUACUGAUGCAAAUGUGCAAGUGUACAUAAUAAGUAAUAAAGUGAUAAGUAUUCAAGUUCGUCUCCACAUAGAUUAAUAUUACUAGAAAUGCUACAACAAUCACAAUAGUGCAAUCUGACUUAAUUUUAAGAUGAACAAAUUUAAAGUUGAUUGCUACCGAACUUAACAAUUGUAAAGAAAUAAAACAAAUAAAUGCAGUAAUGAAAUAAGUUAAAUAAAUUACGUAGAAGAAUCAAAUGAGAAUGAGGUAGUUGAAUGCUCAAACUCUCUUCAUGGGUUGACUGCUUUUCAUCAAAUUAACACCAAUUGCUACAACAAUUUCUAUAGCACUAGGCAGAAUUAUGUUGUAUCCUCAGCUAUCGCGUGUUGGACUUCUCAUACUCUUACGCAUCGUAACAAUGACCAAUUGCUAUUCUACCUAAGGCAUGGCAUUAUAAGCAUCUUCUCUCUCUACCCUACAAGGUGAAUGCCUAUGUCUAGUUCUUCACAAAUCUUAACUCCAAGUAUAACCCUUAUGGGAUUCAAGAUAAACUUCAUCCAGGAAACUAAAACUAAGAUCAAGUAUUACUCUAAUAAUAUCCACUAAGACAAGCCCUUUUGCGGCUCUAUCUUAACUUGAACCAUUAAAUGGGUGGUCAACCGAAAUAACAGUUAUAAGUAAAAUGCUACAACAAUUAUAUAGCAACUCAUAAGAACAGUUAAAGACCCAUUAGAUUGUUUGUCAUCUAAAUACAAGCAAGUUUAGUUCAUACUUUGGAAAAGAAAAAAAAACAGCAAAAUAUCGGUUAUGAAAUACAUCGGUUCAAUNNNNNNNNNNNNNNNNNNNNNNNNNNNNNNNNNNNNNNNNNNNNNNNNNNNNNNNNNNNNNNNNNNNNNNNNNNNNNNNNNNNNNNNNNNNNNNNNNNNNNNNNNNNNNNNNNNNNNNNNNNNNNNNNNNNNNNNNNNNNNNNNNNNNNNNNNNNNNNNNNNNNNNNNNNNNNNNNNNNNNNNNNNNNNNNNNNNNNNNNNNNNNNNNNNNNNNNNNNNNNNNNNNNNNNNNNNNNNNNNNNNNNNNNNNNNNNNNNNNNNNNNNNNNNNNNNNNNNNNNNNNNNNNNNNNNNNNNNNNNNNNNNNNNNNNNNNNNNNNNNNNNNNNNNNNNNNNNNNNNNNNNNNNNNNNNNNNNNNNNNNNNNNNNNNNNNNNNNNNNNNNNNNNNNNNNNNNNNNNNNNNNNNNNNNNNNNNNNNNNNNNNNNNNNNNNNNNNNNNNNNNNNNNNNNNNNNNNNNNNNNNNNNNNNNNNNNNAUGAUGUGCUUUUUUCUGGACUUGGAAGAGGUCCUGACUGGGGGUUCCUCGCGUUCUUUCUCAGAUUCUUCCUUUGCCUCUAUUGGUGAACUGUCAGUUGCAGACUUGUCACUCUCUUCUUCAGGUUGGUCAGAUUGGUCAGCAGUUUCUGAUUCAGCCUCUGCUUGUGGUUCUGUUGCAGAUUCCUCUUCUGGUUCAUAUGUGUCAGUAGUUUCUUCACUGACUUCUGUUGGAGCCUCUGUAGUGUUGGUGUCAAAAUUGUACUGCUGGAGUAACGUAUCAGGGAAAUUCCGGUGGGUACUUUUUAUGUAUACAACAAAUUGGUGUAGGUGGCUUUCCAAGUGCUGUAAAUAGCUCUAAAACUAAUCGUUUUCCCUUUGCUGAGCUUCAACACAUUGAGUGAUGCUGGUGCUGAGUGCUUGUAUUCUAUGUUUUAACCCAAUAGCUCGUCUCACCCCUGUUACAGCAGCUGGUUCAGAUGUGGCCCCAACAACUUCACCAGUAAUUCUCUUGAUGGUGCGUACAGUAAGGGCACAAUCAUUCUUGACAUGUUCAUCUUUUGCAUCAAGACGAACUCCCGAUACCACACAGAUGCUAGUGAUGAGUGAAGGAAAUAGCAAGGCAGCUGCUUUGUGAUUUUUCAUUGCACAGUCCCGAAUUUCUUUUUUGAUAAUGCUUCCCACAUCUAUGGAAAACCCUAUAACAAUAACAUACAACAAUACCAACCUUUCUUGUGAAACAGUAGUAGUGUGGGCGGUUGGUAUAAGUCUGGAUUUCAAAAAUUUUACCCACACCUUGGCAAUGGGUUUUAAAUCGAUCUUGUUAAUUACACGCCCUUCCUCAUUAGCCCAUGAAGCACCCUCUACUAUAAGUGUCGUGAAAAUUUUGUUCCAUCGUUGUGAGGUUAAUUUGUCAAGCAAUUGGGCAUACUCGUAAUUAAUUUCAGUAGGUAAAUUAUAGAAAGCAUUUAUAACUUGAGAAUCUAAUAGACCAAGCGAGUUUCUUACCCAUAUGUUGUGCUGACUAGAGCUUACCAAAUUGGCGUAAAAUUCUUUCACUACUGGCAACACCGGGUCUCGAGGGUGGUUACAAAACUCUAGCCACCCGCGCUUUGCUGCAAUAUUGUACAAUGAUUACACAAUUCCUGUGGGUUGAGGUGGAAACUGAAAUCCUUUUUCUUCUAGAAUCUUGUGCGGUUCAAUGAAUUCUUCAUAUUUUUCUUCCGUAUGGUAACUUUGGAAGCGUGAAUGAUCUUUUAAUCGGCUGGCUAUCCUUUUGUACCUUGGCAUUGCUAUAGCAGUAAGAAUUCGAUGGUAAUAUGUCCAGGAGUAAAAUGAGAAGAAGAAGUUAAGAAGUAUUUGAGUCGUGACUGUGAAGGAGAGGGAAAAUAGUGUCAGAGGUCAUUAAGCACAAUAACUCCCUUAUAUAGGGUGAAUUAAAUAAAAACAAAUUCGGUAAAAAGAGAUAAAUUAAGGAAGAAUAUUUUUCAAAUUCAUUAAGCAUAUCUCAUAAAAAUAGGCAAGAGAAAUUAGUGCAUUAAUUUCAGAGGUAUUCUUCCAUAAUUUCUAUCCAAAUCCAUUCACCCAUCUGUCACAUAUUAUUUCCAACGAUAAGUGAGAGGCUCCAUCUUUAAGUUGCUGUAACAGUAAUAUUGGUUGCUGCAGCACCCAAUUGUUUGCUCUAGCAACGGUUACAUACUCUCCUCCAAUAGCUACUGACUGUUACCAGUACAGCCCCAAUUGUUAGUAUGGAAUCCAUUUGUCACAUACAUUUCUCUUGAGAAAUUCAAAAAUCAAUCAUAAUUUAAAGAUAAAAUCAAUCCUAAAAAAGAUAAAAAAAUAAAAUAAAAAUAAAAGUUAAAUAAUCCUAAAUAAGAGAAGUAAAAAUAAUAAAAAUAUUAAAAUGAAUUAAAAUAAAAGGAAAAAUAUUUAACAAAACCAAUGAGGAGCCAUCUAAUUUGAAGUGACUACCUUCGCAAUGGGUUGCCUCCCAUUGAGCGCUUGAUUUAAGGUCCUUUAGCCUGACCUUACUUGAGUGCUCAUAAACUUGGUUCUUUAAGGAGUAAGACCUCCUUUGAACAAUCAGCAGCUGAGUGUAUGUAGUGUUUAACCCUGUGCCCAUUGACUUUGAAUUCUUAGCCUGGUUUUUCAUCUAGAAGAUCAAUAGCCCCAUAAGGAUAAAUUCUGAACAGUUUCAAGGGUCCAGACCAUCGAAAUUUCAGUUUUCCUGGAAACAGUCUUAGCCUAGUAUUAUGAAGCAGUACUAGUUGACCAGGGAUUAAUUUCCUGUGUUGGAUAUGUUUGUCAUACUAGUGCUUUGUUCUCUCUCUAUAAAUUCUUGCAUUUUCAUAUGAGAACAUACGGAAUUCAUCAAGCUCACAUAGUUGAAGUUUCCUUUGCUCUGCUGCAGCAUGUAUAUCCCAAUUUAAUUGCUUUAGUGCCCAGUAUGCUUUGUGCUCUAGCUCGAAUGGCAAGUGACAAGCUUUCCCAUACACAAUUCGGUAGGGAGACAUGCCAAGUGGUGUUUUGUAUGCUGUUCUGUAGGCCCAUAAAGAGUCCUGUAAGUACAGGGACCAAUCAUUCCUUGAUGAGUUCACCAUUUUUUCUAAGAUUUUCUUAAUCUUUCUAUUAGAUACUUCCACCUGGCCAUUGGAUUGUGGGUGAUAUGCUAUUGCUACUUUAUAUCUGACUCCAUAUUUUACCAUGGCUACAGCAAAUACUUUGUUGUAAAAAUGAGUACCCUCAUCAUUAAUAAUUGCUCUUGGAGUGCCAAAACUGGAAAAAAUGUUUUCUUAAGAAAGUCUACAACUGCUCUAGCAUCAUUGGUCGGUAAUGAUGCAGCUUCUACCCAUUUGGAGACAUAAUCCACAGCAAUCAGGAUAUAUAGGUUCCUAAAGGAUGUUGGAAAAGGACCCAUGAAAUCUAUCCCCCAUACAUAAAAAACCUCAACUUCCAGAAUGUUUGAUAAUGACAUUUCAUGUCUUUGAGUUAUAUUUCCUGUCCUUUGACACCUGUUACAAUAUUUAGCAAACUCAUAAGCAUCUUUAAAAAUAGAAGGCCAGUAAUAACCUAAUUGCAGAACCUUAGCAGCUGUUCUGUGACCACCAAAAUGUCCUCCAUAUGCUGCAGCAUGGUAGUAUUCCAGUAUGUGAGGAAUUUCUUCAUCUGAAGCACAUCUUCGUAUUACUUGAUCUGAGCAUAACUUAUACAAACAUGGGUCAUCCCACUGGUAGCUUCUAACAUCAUGAAGAAAUUUCUUUUUCUGCUGAAACUUCAAAUCAGGUGGUAGCAAUCCACUUAUUAAGUAGUUAGAAAAAUUUGCAUACCAUGGAGGUCCUGAUUAAUGCAGCAUCUGUGCUUGCUGUACUACUAACAAUUGUUCAUCAGGAAAAGUUUCAGUGAUGUCUUUUUUUGUCAAUGUGCUUGUGUCUGCUUCUAGCCUCGACAGAUGGUCUGCUACUUGAUUCUCAGUCCCCUUUCUAUCUUUAAUUUCCAAAUCAAACUCCUGAAGCAAUAAAAUCCAUCUUAUUAAUCUUGGUUUAGCAUCCUUUUUUGAGAUUAGGUACUUGAUUACUGCAUGGUCUGUGUACACUGUCACUUUAGUACCCACCAAGUAAGCUCGAAAUUUAUCGAAAGCAAAUACUACUGCUAGCAACUCUUUCUCUGUAGUGGUGUAAUUAAUAUGAGUUUGAGUAAGAGUUUUGCUGGCGUGGUAUAUAGAGUGGAAAAUCUUAUUCUUCCUCUGCCCUAACACUGCCCCAAUAGAAUGGUCAUUGGUAUCACACAUCAUUUCAAAUGGUAGCGUCCAAUCUGGCGAUAUGACCACUGGUGCUGUGAUAAAAGCUUUCUUUAAUUCUUUAAAGGUUUGAAGACAGUCUUUAUCAAAAUGAAAGGGCUUGUCAUGUUCUAGCAAUGAGCAUAAUGGUUUAGCUACCUUCGAAAAAUCUUUUAUGAAUUUUCUAUAAAAUCCAGCAUGACCCAAAAAACUUCUAAUCCCUUUGAUUGAAGUGGGGGGUGGCAAUUUAUCUAUCACUUCUAUUUUUAUUUUAUCCACCUCUAUGCCCUUCUUGGACACCUUAUGACCCAAUACUAUGCCUUCUUGCACCAUGAAGUGUCAUUUUUCCCAAUUGAGUACUAAGUUAGUCAUCUCACAUCUUUUAAGAACUUUUUCUAGAUUGUGUAAACAGUCAGUAUAUGUUUCACCAAAGACUGAGAAAUCAUCCAUAAAGACUUCCAAUGUUUGCUCCACCGUAUCUGAAAAAAUAGACAUCAUACAUCUCUGAAAAGUUGCUGGCGCAUUGCAUAAACCAAAGGGCAUCCUUCUGAAGGCAAAAGUUCCAUAACAACAGGUAAAUGUAGUCUUUUCCUGAUCCUUUGGAGUUAUAGCAAUUUGGUUGUAGCCUGAAUACCCAUCUAGGAAACAAUAAUAUUGUUUUCCAGCAUGUCUGUCCAACAUUUGAUCUAUGAAUGGAAGUGGGAAGUGAUACUUCCUAGUGGCUUUGUUGAGCUUCCUGUAAUCCAUACAUACCCUCUAUCCAGUCAAUGUUCUUGUCGGAAUAAGUUCAUUCUUCUCAUUUGCUAUCACUGUUAUUCCUCAUUUCUUUGGUACACAUUAAACUGGGCUUACCCCUGAAUUGUCUGAUAUUGGGUAUAUAAUUCCAGCAUCCAACCAUUUGAUGAUUUCUUUCUUCACAACUUCCUUCAUAAUAGGGUUUAGUCUUCUCUGUUGCUCCACUGAAUUAUUGUAGCAGUUUUCUAACAGAAUUUUAUGCAUGCAUAAGGAUGGGCUGAUCUCUUUAAUGUCGCCAUAGUCCAUCCAAUUACUUUUCUGUAUUUCCCAAGCACAUCUACCAGGCUCUGUUCUUGACCUUUAUCCAAAGUAGAUGAAAUGAUUACUGGGAGUGUGUUAUUUUGACUAAGAUAAGCAUAUUUCAAAUGUGAGGGUAAUAAUUUUAAUUCAAAAAUAAGAGAUGAUUCAAUAGAUGGUAAAGUUAUUUUUACUUCCCUGUCUAAAAGAUUCAGAUGCUCAACAAAUCUGUUAUGUCUGUUAGAUUGCUUUCCUUUCAUCCAAUCUAUCUGGUUUGCUGCAGAUUGCUUUCCUUUCAUCAAAUCUAUUUGGUUUGCUGCAACAUAUUCUUCUUCAAGGCUCUCAAAGGUGGCAACUUUGAUGAUCUCCUUACUGCAGCAUCUGUCGAUUCUGUCUGCUACAACAAAAUCCAAAACAUUCAGGAAAUUACAAUCUUCUGCCUCAUUAGGGCUUUUCAUAGCCUCUAAUACAUUGAAUGUGACUUGUUGAUCAUUCACCCUCAUUGUUAGCUCUUUUUUUUGCACAUCUAUCAGAGUCUUCCCGGUUGCUAGGAAAGGUCUUCCAAGUAUAAUGGGUACCUCUUUAUCAGCCUCAAAGUCUAAUACAAUGAAGUCCACUAGAGAGAUGAAUUUGUCAACCUUCACCAAUACAUCCUCAAUUUUUCCUUCAGGAUAUACAUGAGAUCUAUCAGCUAAUUGCAGAGUGACUGUUGUUGUCUUGCAUUCUCUUACUCCCAACUACUUAAAUACAGAUAAUGGCAUCAGAUUAAUGCUGGCUCCCAAAUCACAGAGUGCUCUGCCAUUGUACCUAGUUCCAAUGGAACAUGGUAUUGUGAAGCUUCCUGAAUCCUUUAAUUUUUGAGGAAUCUUACUUUGGAACAUAUGAUUGCUUUCCUGUGUUAAAGCAACAGUUUCAAAUUCUCCCAACCUUCUUUUUCUUGCCAAGAUGUCUUUUAGAAAUUUCACAUAAUUAGGCAUUUGCUCUAAUGCUUCCACAAAAGGGAUGUUGAUGUGUAAUUGCUUCAGCACUUCCAAGAAUUUACUAAACUGCUUGUCUUGUUUUUGUUUAUGGAAUCUUUGUGGGAAAGGAAGUGGAUGUCUAAAUUGAUGGGUAGCUUUAGGAGGUACUAAUCUCUGCUCACUUGGUUUAUUGUAAGAUGUUGCCACUGGUGUUGCAACUUCUUCCUCCUCAUUUAUUGGUUGAUUCCCUUCUAUAGUGCUGCAGUUCGAUCAUUAAUACCAGUAUCUUGAUGGCUGGGUUGCUGUAACAUGCUAUCAUCUCGAAGUGAUUCUUGUGAGGACUUAAAUUCCACCCCUUUUUUAGUCACUUCAACAGGGAUAUCAACAUUUUUUCCAGAUCUUAAGUUGAUUACUUUGCAAUGUUCCUUCCCUUCUCUUCUUAGAUCUUCUGUGUUGCUGGGCAAGCUUCCAUGAGAUCUGCUACUCAUUGUUGUGGCAAGCUGACCAAUUUGGUUUUCCAGGUUUCUUAGAGAUACGGUUUGACUUUGUAGAAUUGCUUCAUUCUUUGCAAUAUAUUCCUUAAUCAGUGUUUCUAAUGAAGUGAGAGGGUUUUGGCUGGGGUGUUUUUGCCCUUGAUUUUGUUGAUGAAAACCAGGUGGUUGAAUAUUUAUGUUCUGUCCACUUAAUGCUGGAACAUUUUGAUUCUGAUUACUCUAUGAGAAAUUUGGGUGUUGCUUCAAUCCAGGGUUGUAAGUAUUCGAGAACAGGUUGUUUUGAGGCCGUCGGUUGAAAUUACCCACAUAAUUUAUUGAUGCUGGAUUUCCAAGACAGUUAUCAAAUUCAUGUUCUUUACCACAGUACACGCAAGACAGUUCAGCAACUUGCUUUACUACUGUUGGAGCAGACGUCAGACUUUCACCAUGUUAGUCAAUGAGGUUACUUGUGCUGGUAAUGCUGUAAUUGCAUCUAUAUUAUGUAUCCCUGCUGCUCCUCUUACUGCUGGCUGUCUAGUUGAUGGCCACUGAUAAUUAUUGCUGGCAAUUCUCUCCAGAAUUUCAUAAGCUUCAGUGUAAGAUUUAGAUAAUAAAGCUCCAUUUUCCAUGUAAAUGAUAUUGUUGUUGCCUCGCUGUCUCUGAUUAACAUGCUCAUUCUACUCCUCCUGAAUGUUGACAGGUUGUAGUGGCCCGUGAGGGUCCAAAUUUCCCACAUCCUGUAAGUUAUCUAUGUCUGAAACAGUUUUUGAAUUCCUUUAUUCUCUUCGCAGUCUCCGUACAGUCCUUUCAAUCUUAGAAUCAAAUUGGAAUGCAACAGAUCUAUCUUUCCGCAUGCAAGUAUUGAUUUGUCAAUAAAUAGAACAAAUAAGAUAAAAUUAGCACUAUCAAGAUUGACUUCACACUUUGAAAAUAAACAAUCAAUCCCCGGCAACGGCGCCAAAAACUUGUUGGUUAAUUUUUACUCAAUUGCUACUGAUGCCAAUGUGCAAGUAUACACAACAAGUAAUAAAGUGAUGAGUAUUCAAGAUCGUCUCCACAUGGAUUGAUGUUACUAGAAAUGCUUAGCAAUCACAAUAGUGCAAUCUGACUUAAUUUUAAGAUAAACCUACCGAACUUAACAAUUGCAAAGAAAUAAAACAAAUAAAUACAGUAAUGAAAUAAGUUAAAUAAAUUGCGUAGAAGAAUAAAAAGAGAAUGAGGUAGUUGAAUGCUCAAACUCUCUUAAUGGGUUGACUGCUUUUCAUCAAAUUAACACCAGUUGCUACAACAAUUUCUAUAACACUAGGCAGAAUUAUGUUGUAUCCUCAGCUAUCGCGUGUUGGACUUCUCAUACCCUUACGCAUCGUAACAAUGACCAAUUGUUAUUCUACCUAAGGCAUGACAUUAUAAGCAUCUUCUCUCUCUACCCUACAAGGUGAAUGCCUAUGUCUAGUUCUUCACAAAUCUUACCUCCAAGUAUAGCCUUUAUGGGAUUCAAGAUAAACUUCAUCUAGGAAACUAAAAUUAAGAUCAGGUAUUACUAUAAUAAUAUCCACUAAGACAAGCCCUUUUGCGGCUCUAUCUUAACUUGAACCAUUAAAUGGGUGGUCAACCGAAAUAACAAUUAUAAUCAAAGCUAUUAGAGCAAAAUACUACAACAAUUAUAUAGCAACUCAUAAGAACAGUUAAAGACCCAUUAGAUUGUUUGUCAUCUAAAUACAAGCAAGUUUAGUUCAUACUUUACAAAAGAAAAAAAAAUAGCAAAAUAUCGGUUAUGAAAUACAUCGGUUCAAUCAAAGAGCAAAGAAAAGAACAAAUAGAGAACGAUGAGGAUUGAAUCCAAAUAACUCUGCUGGAUUCUUCACUGAUGCAGACUUGGUUCCCUUGAAUUCUAAUUGUUUUCUUCUUUUCCUCUUUAUUUUUCCAAUAUUAAUUACUUGCUGCCGUUUUUAUGUGAUGCACGCCCCUUUUUAUAACUGAAAACUAAGGUAAACACAAGCAUAAGGUGUGCAUGAGUCAAAUUAGGAAACUACAGAUCGCUAUUCUACAGAUAUCCCGCGCUAAGCUUUCUUUGUCGGUGUUCUAGAAUUGCUACAACAAUGGGUUCUCCCUCAACUGUUACAGCACUGAACUGCUCCAAAUUUUGUUUCACUUCUUUGGUGGCCAUAUUCUUCCUCCGUUUUGCCAUCCUUCUGCAUCAGCAUCCCUUCCAUGAAUUAUAAGCUUCUGAAAACCUACAAUACAAAUGGCUAAAUGAAAAUUUUUGAAGUGGUGAUCCAAUUCAUAAAUCUAUGAAAUUGUUUUAAAACAAUAACUUGCCAUUUCAACAAAUGGCGAUCCGUUUCAGAGUUAAGGGCAACAUGAUAACUCCAUAAAAGAAUAACAACAUAUUUUCUAGUUCAAAUUAUAAAAAGCCAAGUGAAACUCAUUUGAAAGUGAUUGCUCGUCCAAUUUAUUGUCUUCUUCAAUCUUUAUCAAGCUUAAUAUUAUUCAUAAAAAUUACCUUGAGCUUUCAUUUGUCUAUACAUGUACGUUUAUUUGUCAUUGAGCUAUAACUUGCUAAAAUACUCUUGUGAGAGCGAAAUCUUUGCAAACUUCAAUUUCACUUAAAAAUUUGAGUGCUUAUAAGUGUGGGAAACACUUGAGAAUGGGAUGUGUGAUCAUUUCUUAUUAGUUGACAGUUUGGAAGUCAAUUGUAAACACUUGAAGACUUGGGUUGUAGGGCUUGGAUAAUGGAAUCCUCUAGCGCAAUUUGCUUGAAGGCAUGAACGUAGGUAGGUUUGUAUGUAGAAAUCUUGUAUUUGCUUUCCCCUCCCUUACCUUUUUGCAUUUAAUCAUUAUUGCAUUUAUUAUUGUUAGUUGGAGUACAAGUUGGUAUUGCAUUUUGAUUUUCUUGUUUAAUAAUUUUAAAAACCCAAUUCGCCCCUCAAUUGGGUUGCUUAGUUAGAUUUUCAUUUGGCAUCAGAGAGAGAUUCUCUUAUUAAGACUUAAUCGUCUAGACUAAAAGAUCAAUGACAAUCCAAAAUGAUUCAACCUUUAGGAAAUGUCAAUCCACUACUAGACAUCUAUUUUUUUUAUGCACUACAAGAAAACAUGAAAUAGAUGACGGAAAAUAACUGUCAUAAAAGGGGGUGCAUGACAGACAGUUAAUCCGUCAUCUAUGUCACUGUCAUUAAUUUAUGACAGAAUAUUUUUUCAUCAUGAAUUUAUGAUGGUAUUUCACAAUCAUUUAUCCAUCACACAAUAUUUUAAUGUAAAAAUAAUUUAAUUAAAAUUUGAAUUUAUUUAAAUUAUCACGUCCUUCUUUUUUUUUUAAAUUUUUGAUGGGAAGUUCAAUUAUCAUUUGUUAAUAUAUAUCUAUAAUUUUAGUGGGAAAUUUUUUUAUCACAGACUUUACGAUG
rnacentral:lncRNA from 1 species